GGGCUUACUUCUGUAAUUUGCAAAAAUAUCUUACGACCGGUUUUGCUACGCCACAAAACGCAGUAAAGUCUUCUUCACCGCACGCACAGGCAGGUAGAGUUCGGCAGCAAUAACGAACAUCAGUAGAUAAUAGGCUACGGUUGUAAACGUGUAGUAGCUAGAUGAAAAAUAUAGUGGAUGGAAGUAGCACCGUGGUGUAGUACUAUAAUAUACGCGUCAAUUAGACUAAUGAUGAUCAGCGGCAGCGACGGCGGCGGAGUAAUUAGCAGAUGGAUAAUGAGAACUAGUAGAACAAGCAUGGCAUCUAAAUAUUGAUCUUGUGUCAAGACUUCAGGAAAAGUGACUACAAUAUCACCUUCAUUCUUGUUCUAGUGUACUGUCUUCAUUAUUUAUUUAUGGAAUAUAUCAACAAGCACAAGCAUGACAUCUACAUAUUGAUUUUGUGCGAGACUUCAGGAAAAGUGACUUUGUUAUGGCCAUUUUGCAUAAAAAACAUGCCAUCUGCAUAUUGAUUUUGCUGGUGAAUAAAGCUAUGCCAUUUGCAUAUGUUCAGAAAAAAGCAUGUCAUUUUCUUAGUGAUUUUGCUUGAGGAAAAGUGAUCUCAAGAAUUGUCGUGGCUUGCUUAAAGUACUUGUUUUUGUCAUUAUGACCUUUUUGGAUAAGCAGAGUGUUAUUCUGGGAUGGUUUGUUUUUUACUAUGUCAACUUCGGUUCAGCAAAAAUACAAAUGUUGUUGUAUCAUACAACAGCAUAAGAUGACAUUUACUAGUGAUUUCCUGUUGUAUUUACUAGUGUUUUCCUUGUGAAAUACAGGUAUAUGCUGCUAUCUAUCCUGGUCUUGAUGGUUUCAUAUGAAGUUGUAUAUGCUAGUACAUCUUGGUGUAUAGUGAGUAUGCUAGCACUACAAUACACAGUUUGUUGCAGGAAAUAAAAUUGAUGGCUACAUCGUACCACCUUAUUUUAAACUGAUUAAAGUGUUAAGAAUGACCAUGGACAUUUCCUCCUUGGUAUAAGAAUGCAUUCCCACAACUACAACAUCAGAUGAAAUUUUGCCAGUCCUGGCUGGGUCAGAAUUGUAAUUUGUGAAUACUACAGUAAAACGAAUUCUUAUUUCACUUGAUAAACUGAUCUUAUUCACUUCAAGUCCCGACUGUGGUCAAUUUUACAUUCAGCACCGUAUGUACAAUCUUUUAAGCGCUGGAGCUUGUAAGGCUAUACUUAGAUUGCUUUUAGCUCAUGUCAGCUUGAUGGUUUGUGCUAUGAAACAAAUGCCUUCUUUAUCAUGUCAACUGUAGUUUUUUUAGAAGCUUUUUUGCAUGUAGUAGACACUAAAAGUCUAGUCUUUUGUUGCAGUUUAUAUAUCGUGCAUCAAAGGGUAUCACCAGUCGGAAGAUUCCAGCUUAGUGCCGUCAACGUACUGACUGCUUCCCCUCUGAAUGCAUGUUUGCUCAUGCCUAAACAUGAUAUGAGUAGGAGUAAAAAACUUGUAUGUGGUAUAUUCAGUUGAUUAAUCUGGAUGGGCUGUAAGGUAGCCAUUUAUGUUUAGAGUACUUUCUCGGGUUCACGCCAAAGGGAGAUAAUGGUCUUACAUGUUGGCCUGUAUUUUGAUUUCCUGUAGUCUAAGAGGAGAGCUGAUUGUGCUCACGUAUUGUGUUUUUUUGCUGAGUUGUAUGUGCAAGUUAGGCUUUCAUCCUGUGCUGUUGUAUGUCAAAUUUGGUUGUGCUGUUGCAUAUGGUCCAGUUAUGCUGUAUGUGGAGGUUUGGCGCUUUGGUUCAGUGAAUCCAAACUAGGCUUUUGCAUGACUGGCCGCUAUUCCAUUGAGAUAUCAGUACAGGAAUGUUUACAAGCUUUAACUAAUGAGUUUAGACCGGGGAAUCUAUUCGAGCAACACAUAC
rnacentral:lncRNA from 1 species